rfam:Salmo salar isolate Sally breed double haploid chromosome ssa10, whole genome shotgun sequence.
GGAGGAGGCAACUGUAAGUUGCUCUGGAUAAGAGCGUCUGCUAAAUGACUUAAA